GAUGACCGCUGACAGAAUGCUUAACACAUGCAAGUCGAUUCGAUUUACCUUCGGGUAUUGAGGAUGGCGGACGGGUGAGUAACGCGUAAGGACCUUGCCUCUUGGACUGGGACAACUGUUGGAAACGACAGCUAAUACCGGAUAUUAUGAGAUUCUCGCAUGGGAAACUUAUGAAAGCUAUAUGCGCCAAGAGAGAGCCUUGCGUUCCAUUAGCUAGUUGGUGGGGUAA
rnacentral:rRNA from 1 species